rnacentral:rRNA from 1 species
AGAGUUUGAUCCUGGCUCAGGAUGAACGCUGGCGGCGUGCUUAACACAUGCAAGUCGAACGAAGCGCUUAAACGGAUUUCUUCGGAUUGAAGUUUUUGUGACUGAGUGGCGGACGGGUGAGUAACGCGUGGGUAACCUGCCUCAUACAGGGGGAUAACAGUUAGAAAUGACUGCUAAUACCGCAUAAGCGCACAGUGCUGCAUGGCACAGUGUGAAAAACUCCGGUGGUAUGAGAUGGACCCGCGUCUGAUUAGCUAGUUGGUGGGGUAACGGCCUACCAAGGCGACGAUCAGUAGCCGGCCUGAGAGGGUGAACGGCCACAUUGGGACUGAGACACGGCCCAAACUCCUACGGGAGGCAGCAGUGGGGAAUAUUGCACAAUGGGGGAAACCCUGAUGCAGCGACGCCGCGUGAGCGAAGAAGUAUUUCGGUAUGUAAAGCUCUAUCAGCAGGGAAGAAAAUGACGGUACCUGACUAAGAAGCACCGGCUAAAUACGUGCCAGCAGCCGCGGUAAUACGUAUGGUGCAAGCGUUAUCCGGAUUUACUGGGUGUAAAGGGAGCGUAGACGGUUGUGUAAGUCUGAUGUGAAAGCCCGGGGCUCAACCCCGGGACUGCAUUGGAAACUAUGUAACUAGAGUGUCGGAGAGGUAAGCGGAAUUCCUAGUGUAGCGGUGAAAUGCGUAGAUAUUAGGAGGAACACCAGUGGCGAAGGCGGCUUACUGGACGAUCACUGACGUUGAGGCUCGAAAGCGUGGGGAGCAAACAGGAUUAGAUACCCUGGUAGUCCACGCCGUAAACGA